UACGUAGGGGGCAAGCGUUGUCCGGAUUUAUUGGGCGUAAAGAGCGUGUAGGCGGCUUUACAGGUCCGUUGUGAAAACUCGAGGCUCAACCUCGAGACGCCGGUGGAAACCGUAAAGCUAGAGUCCGGAAGAGGAGAGUGGAAUUCCUGGUGUAGCGGUGAAAUGCGCAGAUAUCAGGAGGAACACCUAUAGCGAAGGCAGCUCGCUGGGACGGUACUGACGCUGAGGCGCGAAAGCGUGGGGAGCGAACAGG
rnacentral:rRNA from 1 species